rnacentral:lncRNA from 1 species
UCCACAAAUAAUCUUGUUAUCCUAAUUUUUAAAUCACAAACCCUAAUCUACAGCAAUUCUCUAAAAAAAUGAAAACUUUCCAAAAAUAGCAGUUUUUAAGAAAAUUAUUUAAAAAUACAACCUAUUGAUGAAAAACUCAUAAAGAAUACUCUUCCAUCCACAAAUAUUCUUGUUAUCCUAAUUUCUAAAUCACAAACCCUAAUCUACAAUUUUUACCAAAAUAAUGAAAAUUUUCCAAAAAUAGCAAUUUUUAAGAAAAAUAUUUAAAAAUAUAAGCCAUAGAUUAAAAAUUCAAAAAGAAUACUCAUCUAUCCACAAAUAAUCCUGUUAUCCUAAUUUCUAAAUCACAAACCUUAAUCUACAGUAUUUCUCUAAAAAAUGAAAACUUUCCGAAAAUAGCAGUUUUAAGAAAAUUAUUGAAAAAUACAACCUAUUGAUGAAAAACUCAGAAA